CAGCCGCCGCGGUAAUACGUAGGUCCCGAGCGUUGUCCGGAUUUAUUGGGCGUAAAGCGAGCGCAGGCGGUUAGAUAAGUCUGAAGUUAAAGGCUGUGGCUUAACCAUAGUACGCUUUGGAAACUGUUUAACUUGAGUGCAAGAGGGGAGAGUGGUAUUCCAUGUGUAGCGGUGAAAUGCGUAGAUAUAUGGAGGAACACCGGUGGCGAAAGCGGCUCUCUGGCUUGUAACUGACGCUGAGGCUCGAAAGCGUGGGGAGCGAACAGGAUUAGAUACCCCUGUAGUCCCUGUCUCUUAUACA
rnacentral:rRNA from 1 species